rnacentral:tRNA from 1 species
CCUCGACUGGUUCGGGUUCGGGCCGCGCGAUCACGCCGCGCAUGGUCACGGCCAUCACGAUCAUGUGAGCGGGUCGCAUAGCCACGGG